GAUGAUUGAGGAUUUUGGCAUAAAUAGAUUGGGGGUUGUAUGCUAGUUUUAAGAUUGGAUUCUCAUUGGUUCGCAUUCAUAUGAACAAAUUUGUUUUACUAGUUAUUAUUAAAUAAACUAAAGUUCUGUAAUAUACUAAUCUAUAUUUUUUGGUAUUCUAAAGAUCAUUAAACUAAACUGGUGUUGGGCCUUAAAAUCAGUAUUGAAAAAGUAAAACUUUUAAGGUAAUAUUUGGGUCUUAUGACUAAUUUUUUACCUAAAAAAUAGUUCAAUGUAU
rnacentral:lncRNA from 1 species